CGCGUAGGCGGUGAGAUGUGUGUGAUGUGAAAGCCCCGGGCUUAACCUGGGAAGUGCAUCGCAAACUAUCUGACUGGAGUAUAUGAGAGGGUGGCGGAAUUUCCGGUGUAGCGGUGAAAUGCGUAGAGAUCGGAAGGAACGUCAAUGGCGAAGGCAGCCACCUGGCAUAAUACUGACGCUGAGGCGCGAAGCGUGGGAGCGAACA
rnacentral:rRNA from 1 species